rnacentral:snRNA from 1 species
AGCGCUUCUCGGCCUUUUGGCUAAGAUCAAGUGUAGUAUCUGUUCUUAUCAGUUUAAUUUUUUUAUUUUUUAUAAACAUAUAUUUUUAUCCCCAGGGGUACAGGUUACAUGCUAUAGUUUUUAAAGUCCAAUCCAUUUAAUGGAGAAGCUCUUUCCAAUAAAAUUGUACUGUUU